rnacentral:misc_RNA from 1 species
GAUGAAGAACGUAGCGAAAUGCGAUAAGUAAUGCGAAUUGCAGAAUUCAGUGAGUCAUCGAAUCUUUGAACGCACAUUGCGCCCUGUGGUAUUCCGCAGGGCAUGCCUGUUCGAGCGUCAUUUCAACCCUCAAGCCCCGCUUGGUGUUGGGCCCCGCCCGCUGUGGCCGGCCCUAAAGACAGUGGCGGCGCCGCCUGGCCCUCAGCGUAGUACAUCUCUCGCUCCAAGGUCCGGUGGCCGCCUGCCAGAACCCCCCAACUCUGUGGUUGACCUCGGAUCAGGUAGGGAUACCCGCUGAACUUAAGCAUAUCAAUAAGCGGAGGA